rnacentral:rRNA from 1 species
CCUACGGGAGGCAGCAGUGAGGAAUAUUGGUCAAUGGGCGCGAGCCUGAACCAGCCAAGUAGCGUGAAGGAUGACUGCCCUACGGGUUGUAAACUUCUUUUAUAAAGGAAUAAAGUGAGGCACGUGUGCCUUUUUGUAUGUACUUUAUGAAUAAGGAUCGGCUAACUCCGUGCCAGCAGCCGCGGUAAUACGGAGGAUCCGAGCGUUAUCCGGAUUUAUUGGGUUUAAAGGGAGCGUAGAUGGGUUGUUAAGUCAGUUGUGAAAGUUUGCGGCUCAACCGUAAAAUUGCAAUUGAUACUGGCAGCCUUGAGUACAGUUGAGGUAGGCGGAAUUCGUGGUGUAGCGGUGAAAUGCUUAGAUAUCACGAAGAACUCCGUUUGCGAGGGCAGCUUACUAAACUGCCACUGACAUUGAUGCUCGAAAGUGUGGGUAUCAAACCGGCUUGGCUACCCUUGUCGU